ACAGUAAUUGUAAUAGCGUCUGGCCCAGGGCAUGGUGUGAACGUGGGCCACACAGGAUUUAUUCAUUUCAUAGACACGAGUCCUCUGUGGGGUAGGGACUGGCAUUCACAUGUCACAGAGGAGGACACGGAGACUUGGUGGGGUGAGGCAACCUGCCCGACAUCACACAGCAAUAAGAGGAAGCACUGGGAUUUGAAUCCCAGUCAGUUUGACUUUGGAGGCUGAGUCUUUCAGCCACUACGUGGGAUGAUGUGCCUCCCACUGCUUCCAUUUUUGGGAAUUGAAUGUGAAGGAAGAGUUGAGAAUGAUGUUACGAAAACUUUAUUCCAUGAGGAUCUGACAUGCGGCAGCUGAAAGCUGUUUAGGAUAUAUCAAAUACUUGAUAAUUGCUCACAGCCCUUAUAUCUCUACUGAACUCAGAAAUAAUUCAAGAUCAAGACACAAGAGUCAGGACCUGAUAAUCAUCGAAAGAAGAGAGAGACUUCAAUUUUCCAUGAUGAAGAAAGGCUGGGCUCCAGAGAACGACACUCCCAGAUAUGGAGGUGUUUCUGAAAUGGAGGCUUCCUCACAGAGCAGGAGAUAAGCAAGAUACUCUAGAGAAAUGUGGGAGAUGCAGAAGAGAAGCAUCAAAGGAAGAGACUUCAAAAGGGAAGAGCUGGAGAAGGUGCAAGGCCUUGGGACAUGUUUACACAGCUGAACGAGGCUGCAGCUUGUAAGGAACACCUAGAGCCGUUAACAUUGUCCAGGGCCAGAUCAUCCUUCACACCUGACCCUUCCUAGUGUUCUAGAAACCAAUUAGCUUGAAAUUCAACCUUGAAAAGCUAAACCACUAGAUUGAUUAACAUACUUGCUUAGCUGACUUUAUGUAUGUAGUCUUCAGCAUUUAUCCUAAUAAAAAGAAGCUUCAUUCUGGAGUCGGGGCCUCAUUCCAACUCACGUCUGAGGACCUUCGCCUAACUGCAUUUUGUUUGCGGACUCAUCUUGUGUAAACUCUGGCCAUACUCCCUGCAACAGAGAAAGAAGUUGAAAAACAAUGGU